GCAGUGGUGGUUCAGCGGUAAAAUUUUCACCUUCCAUGCGGGAGACCUGGGUUCUAAUCCCAGCCAGUGUA
rnacentral:tRNA from 1 species